AUGGGGCCAGAGGGGGCUGCUCUGCCCACCUGCCAUGUUCCUGCCCCAAGUGGACCACAAACACCUGGCCUGGCCUCAGUUCAGGACACCUCACAAGGCCCCCGGCACCAGCAGCUGAGUUGCGCACCCUGCUUCUCUCCCAACGGUGGACAACACCCAGCUCAGAGUCGGCCCACCGAGACUCUGCCUUCCGGGCACAGGGAUCUGAACCUAUCCGUGGGGCACUUGGACGCACGUGUCUACACAUGGCCUUCCCAGAUGUCGUCUACGCAGAGCACAGAAACCCUCUUCUGCAGAGCCCAAGCUGCCUUCCGCAGGGCUCCCGCCCCCACGCCGCCCACCCCCGCUAAUGGGCUUGUUUCCGCGCACACUGGAGACGAAAAACAUGCGAUCCCCAAUGUGUCUCUUUCACGACCACACAUUUCUUUUUACCAUGCAUCUUGGCUGAGGGCCGCUUACAAAUUCCCAGCAACGGUUCCCAAGUCGAUUUUCAAAGAGUCCUGCACCUCUGACCUAAUAAAAACCGGAGAGAACUGGACGAGGGCUUGCGGCACGUCUCUAAGAGCAUUUUUUUUUUUUUUUUUUUUUUUUUUUUUUUUUUUUUUUUUUUUUUAUUCCAUGAAUCCUGCCCUCAUGCUGACAGCAGAUCUUUUUUUUUUUUUUUUUUUUUUUUUUUUUUUGGUAAAAGUUCUGUUCUUUUGCCUUCGGUUUCCCUUGCUGCUUGCAGCUCUGGGCUUGCAGACCUGAGAUUCGUUCCAGGACCUCACUAGCUUGCACACAGCAAGCGGUCCUUCUGACACGGCCGGGCUGUGACCGCAGCCAUGCAGGGUCCCUCUCACCUCCAGAGGAGCCCCCUCUCCUUCCCACCCAUGCCCCAAACCCCAUGGCUCAGUGCCCCACCCCACACCCCAACUCCCCCGCAGGCCCAGCUUCGCCUGCCUUCGUUCCCACUCUUUGGCUCCCUCUCCCCAACCAGAGCCCACUGGGCCCCCACAGAAGGGUGCAGUCUCUCACAGACUUGAUGGCUGAUAGCACCCAGUAUGCCUGUUCUGCUCUGGAAACAGGGUCUGCAGCGGCCUCGGCAGACAGACAGAAGCCAAGGUGACAGGUGGGCCGGCUCCUCGUCCCUGUCACAAUGGGGCAUGCACAGGCUACAAGGAGGGAGCCAGCCGUGUUCCCCACUUCCUCUGCUCUGUUUGGCCUUGAUAAGCAUGGGAGGGGACAGGACAGUGAGCUCCAUGUUUCUUAUUGAAGGCUUGGAGCAGCAGGCUGUGACACUGUCCCGGCUGCUGUGUGUGCAGCCUCACAUGAGGAGAAGGGUACUCCUUCAGCUUCAGCAGAAGUUGAGGACCAAGCCCCACCCUGACUGUGACAGACUUCACUGUGCACCCCCCGGGGGGGGCUCUGGCUGAAACUGCGCUGUCUCUCACCCCAGGCCGGGGUUCAGCCAGCUAGAAGGGGGCAAGAUGGCUCCAGGAGACAGGCCGGAAAUAAAUCCCAGAUCUUUUUUUCUUUUUUGGCUGGGGAUUGAGCCCACAACCUCCACACAGAGCCACGUCCACAGUCAGUUUGGGGGUUUUCUUAGGCAGAAUCUUACUAAGUUGCCUAGGCUAGCCUCAGAUUUGGGACCCUCCUGCUUCAGCCUGGCAGAGUGCUAGGAUUAUGGGUGUACACCCCAUAUCCUGCUAAUACCAGACUUUAUAAGAACAACAAGUCUAAGGCAUAGGGGAAACAGGCAAAGUCUUCUUGAAUGAGACUCUGAUAGCACAGGAAAUAAGAGCAAGAAUCAAUAAGGAGGACUACGUCAAACUAAAAGUGUCCUGCAGGGAAAGGGAAGUAAAAGGAAUUAAGAUGUGUUGUGUACCAACUC
rnacentral:lncRNA from 1 species